ACAUUUUAUUAAACUGAUGAAAGUUCGGAUUAUCAGUUCCGUUAGAUACCUGUAAUUACUGUAAGAUUCUGUUACCAUCAUAUUGAAAAUGAACAUUUGAUUUUUAAGCAUUAUCUUGAAAUAAUAUUUAGAAAAAUAGAAAUGUUUACUUCCACUGUAAUUGGCGUCCAUUAAACUUACCUAGAACAUAUAUCCUUCUGUAGAUCAAACUAGAUUUUUUUUAUCAGAACCUGGAGAAUAUGGUAUGCAUUUAUUGCUUUUGUCAUGAAAAUCAGAAAAAUAUGUAUACAGUAACCAUACAAUGAUUACACACUGUCAUUGCUGAAACUGUAAAUCAGGAUUUACUUUGAACAAAAGCUGACUUGGUAUAUAUAUAGCUUGUAUAUUUUUCAGAUGAAAUCGUUUUUGUUUUUUUUAUUAUUUUUUUUUCAUCAUGUAAAACUACAUUUUCUAUUUUAUGUGUUUCUGUGAAUUUGAUUUGAUAAAAAUUGAUAUUUGUUACAAUCUAGGUAUCAGACUGAGGGACAGACAUUAUAAAAGAUAUAUUUUACAGCAUACUUUUGAACCGAAGGCUUUCUUGCAUGUGUGUUUUUUUUAAUUUAAGAUAUGAUUGGUAAUUCUUCAACAUUGCAACUGAUUUUUUCAACAUGGUUUUUGUCGAGCCUGCGACUUUUGUCGCAGGAAGCUCGACAUAGGGAUAGUGAUCCGGCGGCGGUGGCGGCGUUAGCUAACUUCUUAAAAGCUUUAUAUUUUAGAAGGUGGAAGGUCUGGAUGCUUCAUACUUUGUAUAUGGAUGCCUCAUGUUACGAAGUUUCCGUCAGUCACAUGUCCAAUGUCCUUGACCUCAUUUUCAUGGUUCAGUGACUACUUGAAAAAAAAGUUAAGAUUUUUUGUAAUGUUAGAUUCUCUCUUAUUAUAAGUAAUAGGAUAACUAUAUUUGGUAUGUGCGUACCUUGCAAGGUCCUCAUGCCCGUCAGACAGUUUUCACUUGACCUCGACCUCAUUUCAUGGAUCAGUGAACAAGGUUAAGUUUUGGUGGUCAAGUCCAUAUCUCAGAUACUAUAAGCAAUAGGUCUAGUAUAUUCGGUGUAUGGAAAGACUGUAAGGUGUACAUGUCCAACUGGCAGGUGUCAUCUGACCUUGACCUCAUUUUCAUGGUUCAGUGGUUAUAGUUAAGUUUUUGUGUUUUGGUCUGUUUUUCUUAUACUGUAUGCCAUAGGUCUACUAUAUUUGGUGUAUGGAAUGAUUGUAAGGUGUACAUGUCUAGCGGGCAGGUGUCAUCUGACCUUGACCUCAUUUUCAUGGUUCAGUGGUCAAAGUUAAGUUUUUGAGUUUUGGUCUUUUUUUCUAAUACUAUAUGCAAUAGUUCAACUAUAUUUGGUAUGUGCGUACCUUGCAAGGUCCUCAUGCCCGUCAGACAGUUUUCACUUGACCUCGACCUCAUUUCAUGGAUCAAUGAACAAGGUUAAGUUUUGGUGGUAAAGUCCAUAUCUCAGAUACUAUAAGCAAUAGGUCUAGUAUAUUCGGUGUAUGGAAGGACUGUAAGGUGUACAUGUCCAACUGGCAGGUGUCAUCUGACCUUGACCUCAUUUUCAUGGUUCAGUGGUUAUAGUUAAGUUUUUGUGUUUUGGUCUGUUUUUCUUAUACUGUAUGCCAUAGGUCUACUAUAUUUGGUGUAUGGAAUGAUUGUAAGGUGUACAUGUCUAGCGGGCAGGUGUCAUCUGACCUUGACCUCAUUUUCAUGGUUCAGUGGUCAAAGUUAAGUUUUUUGAGUUUUGGUCUUUUUUUCUAAUACUAUAUGCAAUAGUUCAACUAUAUUUGGUGUAUGGAAAUAUUUUAUGAUCUAUUUGGCAGUCACGCAGGUUUUAUUUGACCUUGACCUCAUUUUCAAGGUUCAUUGCUCAGUGUUAAGUUUUUGUGUUUUGGUCUGUUUUUCUUAAACUAUAAGCAAUAGGUCAACUAUAUUUGUUGUAUGGAAGAAUUGUUAGCUGUACAUGCCUGCCUAGCAUGGUUCAUCUGACCUUGACCUCAUUUUCAUGGUUCACUGGUCAAUGUUUAGUUUACUUGGUUAAUGUUAAGUUUAUGUGACAGUUGUAAUAAAGCUUUAUAUUUAGGACUAUCAACAUAAUAUCAAUGAUUAGUAAAGAAGGUGAGACAUUUCAGCGUGUGCACUCUUGUAUUUUUAUACGCCCGUUUACGGGACGUAUUAUGGUAUACCUCUGUCCGUCCGUCCUUCGACAACAUGUCGAACAUUAACUCAAAAACGCUUUAACCAAUUUGCAAAAAACUUUGGGGAAAUGUUUAUAUCUAUUGACGUGAGCUGCCUUUUGUUUUUUAUAAAUUUUAGAUUUUACGUUUCCGAGUUAAGGGGGUUUUAUUAAUUAAAAAAAGGGGGAUUUUCCAGUUUUCAGACAAGAACUCAAAAAUGCUAUCAGCAGUUCUCAUGAAACUUUGCUUAAUUGUUUAUAUCUAUUGACGUAAGCUCCCUUUUGAUUUUUAUACAUUUUAGAUUUUACAUUUCCGAGUUAUGGGGUUUUAUUCAUUAAAAAAGGGGGUAUUUUCCAGUUUUCUGACAAUAACUCAAAAAUGCUUUCAGCAGUUCUCAUGAAACUUUGGUGAAUUGUUUAUAUAUCUAUUGACUUAAGCUCCCUUUCAAUUUUUAUAAAUUUCUGAUAUGACAUUGAGAAGUUAUUGAACUUUAUUCUUUCAAAACGAGACGGGCGUAUCAUGCGCUCAUGGCGCAGCUGUUUAUCAGGAUAGGCUUUAAUGUUAUACUUUGAUUGGAAGGAAAGACUUUAAAAAAAUUCAAUUUUUUGUUGAUUGGUUUUCCUCAAAAUUUAUGGUAGCCAAGUAAGUUGUAUAAUAUAGAGACCAGUGUUAUAUAUGACUUGGAUAACUACCUCUUAAUGUAAAUUAUAUUUCAGGGCAUUAAAGUACCCUGUACUGAUAAAGCUUAAUAUAAAUGUUCAUGAAACUGGGAAGUGCACAGAAUAACAUACAAUUUUCAGCAAAACUUUAAACAUGCAAAGAUACUGUGUUCUCAAUCUUAAGCUUGUACAGUACUUGCGCACAAAGUAGCUGUCAUAUAUUAUAAUGAUACUAUCAUAGCAGAAAAUAGUUCAUGAUAUCAAAUGUUUGCAGUGCACUAAAUGCUUUUUUCUGUUGAAGGUCAAUUUGACUGAUGAAAUAAUGCUUACUUGCUCCAAGCAGUUGCUUUUAUAAAAGAAAAAUGCUAACUUAGCAGCAAAAUAGUAAACUGGCCGAUUUCAAGGGUGGAUCCAGGAUUUUAGGUUAAGGGGGACGCAAAUUUUAAAUUUUUUUUUAGGUAAAAUUAUCGAAAUAUUCUUUAUUAAGCUGAGGACAACCCAUGCUUUGCAAAUUUAAGGGGGGCGCACGCCCCGCCUGAAUCCGCCCUUGGAUUUAUACAUGUAUACAACAUGUACAAAAUUUGGUAAUACAAUGUAUACUGUUUAAAAUGACUGGAAGUCUGAGAAAAUGUUUAGAGUUAAGUCUACUUCCCGUACUAAUACUGUACUAAUACUGUAGAUAUGGAAAUCAAUCAUAUGUGUAAAUUUAUUACAUAUAUGCCAAUUUCCAGAUGAACUUCCAAAAUAUUAUAUUAGUUAUUGUGAUUUGAAACCAUGUUGUAAAAGAAGAUGACUCAGAAAUGUGUAUUUUAUAAUUUUUAUACGACCGCAAAAAAAAUUUUGUGGUCGUAUAUUGGUAUAACGUUGGCGUCAUCGUCAUCGUCGUCGUCCGAAGACACAUUAGUUUUCACACACUAACUUUAGUUUAAGUGAAUGGAUCUCAAAGAAAUUUUACCAUAAGGUUCAAUACCACAAAAGGAAGGUGGGGAUUGAUUUUGGGGGUUAUGGUACCAACAGUUAAGGAAUUGGGGGCCAAAAAUAUGCAUUUUUGUAACUUCCAGACAUAACUUGUGUGUAAGUGUAUGGAUCUCUCUGACAUUGUACCACAAGGUUCCAUAUCACAAAGGGAAUGCUGGGAUUGAUUUUGGGGGUAAUUGCCUCCAAAUUUUAGGAAUUAGGGGCCAAAAAAAAAAAGGGGCAAAAAACAAGCAUUUUUCUAGUUUCAUGACAAUAACUUGUGUGUAAGUGUAUGGAUCUUUAUGAAAUUGUACUACAAGGUUCCAUAUCACAAAGGGAAAGCUGGAAUUGAGUUCGGGGUAAUUGCCCGAAACGUUAAGGAAUUGGGGGCCAAAAAGGGGCCAAAAAUAAGCAUUUUUCUAGUUUCCAGACAAUAACUUGUGUUCAAGUGUAUGGAUCUCUCUGAAAUUGUACUGCAAGGUACCAUACCACAAAGGGAAGGCUGGGAUUGAGUUUGGGGGUGACGAAUCAUAAGGGGGUUCAAAAAAUUUGGGGGGGAUUUUUUUUUUCUUUUUUUUUUUCUUUUUUUCCUUUUUUUUUUCUUUUAAAAUUUUCCAUUUUAAGUUGGUUAUUUCUGUUUAAUAUUUAAAAGCAAAUAAUAAUGAUAUGGUAGGAGAUACACACCAAACAGGAUGUGUAAAUUAUUAUCUAAUAAGUAUUGUGCAAUAGCAAGAAAUUUUCAAUUGCACAGUAUUGCACAAUAGCAAGAAAUCUUCAAUUGCACAGUAUUGCGCAAUAGCAAGAAAUCUUCAAUUGCACAGUAUUGCGCAAUAGCAAGAAAUAUCCAAUAGCACAAUAUUGCGCAAUAGCAAGAAAUUGUCAAUUGUACAGUAUUGCGCAAUAGCAAGAAAUAUUCAAUUGCACAGUAUUGUGCAAAAGAAGAUACUUCAUAUAAAUUGCUUAUUUCUUGAUCAAUUUCAAUGGGGUUUUAUUCUUGAAUUCUUGGGGUUCUUUAAUAUGCUGAAUCUAACCGUGUAUUAAGUUUUUGGAUUUUGGGCCCCGUUUUUAAAUUGGUCCACAUUGAGGUCCAAAGGGUCCAAAAUUUAACUUUGUUUGAUUUCAUCAAAAAUUGAAUUAUUGGGGUUCUUUGAUAUGCUGAAUCUAACCGUGUAUUUAGAUUCUUAAUUUUUGGUUCCGUUUUCAAAUUGGUCUACAUUAAGGUCCAAAGGGUCCAAAAUUAAACUUAGUUUGAUUUUAACAAAAAUUGAAUUUAUGGGGUUCUUUGAUAUGCUGAAUCUAACCAUGUAUUUAGAUUUUUGAUUAUGGGCCCAGUUUUCAAGUUGGUCCAAAUCGGGGUCCAAAAUUAAACUUUGUUUGAUUUCAUCAAAAAUUGAAUUCUUGGGGUUCUUUGAUAUGCUGAAUCUAACCAUGUAUUUUGAUUUUUGAUUUUUGGGCCCCGUUAUCAACUUUGUCCACAUUGAGGUCAAAAGGGUCCAAAAUUUAACUUUGUUUGAUUUCAUAAAAAAUUGAAUUAUUGGGGUUCUUUGAUAUGCCGAAUCUAACCGUGUAUUUAGAUUCUUAAUUUUUGGUUCCGUUUUCAAAUUGGUCUACAUUAAGGUCCAAAGGGUCCAAAAUUAAACUUAGUUUGAUUUUAACAAAAAUUGAAUUUAUGGGGUUCUUUGAUAUGCUGAAUCUAACCAUGUAUUUAGAUUUUUGAUUAUGGGCCCAGUUUUCAAGUUGGUCCAAAUCGGGGUCCAAAAUUAAACUUUGUUUGAUUUCAUCAAAAAUUGAAUUCUUGGGGUUCUUUGAUAUGCUGAAUCUAACCAUGUAUUUAGAUUUUGGAUAUUGGACCAUAAUAGGUGAAUGUCCAAUUUAAAAUUUUUAAGUUCUUAGACCACAUUCAUUCUGUGUCAGAAACCUAUGCUGUGUCAAAUAUUUAAUCACAAUCCAAAUUCAGAGCUGUAUCAAGCUUGAAUGUUGUGUCCAUACUUGCCCCAACUGUUCAGGGUUCGACCUCUGCGGUCGUAUCAAGCUGCGCCCUGAGGAGCAUUUUAUUCUCAUUUCAGAUUUCAGAAAUUAAAAGAAAAUUUCUUCAAAUAUUUUUUCUGGGGGGUUAAUAUUCAAAAGCAUAGUGUAUUGCACAAAAGCAAAAAACCGGGGUCAAAUAAAUUUUAAUUUUUUUGGUAGGGGCCUGGGUGGGGGGGCAAUUCGCAACAGCAUAGUGUAUUGCACAAAAGCAAUAAAUUGAAUA